CGGAGGGUGCAAGCGUUAUCCGGAUUCACUGGGUUUAAAGGGUGCGUAGGCGGGUAUAUAAGUCAGUGGUGAAAGCUCCGGGCUUAACUUGGAAACUGCCAUUGAUACUGUAUAUCUUGAAUGUCGUUGAGGUUAGCGGAAUGUUGCAUGUAGCGGUGAAAUGCUUAGAUAUGUAACAGAACACCAAUUGUGAAGACAGCUAACUAAGCGAUGAUUGACGCUGAGGCACGAAAGCGUGGGGAGCAAACAGGAUUAGAUACCCUGGUAGUCCACGCCCUAAACGAUGAUUACUCGAUGUUGGCGAUACACUGUCAGCGUCUUAGCGAAAGCGUUAAGUAAUCCACCUGGGGAGUACGCUCGCAAGAGUG
rnacentral:rRNA from 1 species